UUGAAUUUUAAUGAAGAGUUUGGUUGUAGCUGGCCCAUUCAUUUGGGCAUGUGCACACCUUCCUCUUUCAUCCCACACACACCUGUGAACCUGUGAGACAGAGAUGGGGAAUUUACUUGCUACUUUUUGGAAUACAAAGGCAAUAGGUUAUUGGACCCCCCCUCUGUCUACUCAAUUAAUAUAAACUCAAUUUAUUUUAAAAAACGAAUGUAAUGGAUGUAACACAUCUCAUAC
rnacentral:misc_RNA from 1 species